rnacentral:rRNA from 1 species
UACAGGGGGGGCAAGCGUUGUUCGGAAUUACUGGGCGUAAAGGGCCCGUAGGCGGCCAACUAAGUCACACGUGAAAUCCCCAGGCUUAACCUGGGAACUGCGUCUGAUACUGGAUGGCUUGAGUUUGGGAGAGGGAUGCGGAAUUCCGGGUGUAGCGGUGAAAUGCGUAGAUAUCCGGAGGAACACCGGUGGCGAAGGCGGCUUCCUGGACCGACACUGACGCUGAGGCGCGAAAGCUAGGGGAGCAAACGGG